GCCCAUGCGUCUGAGAUGUGGGCCCGCCAAAUCUCCUGAUAAAGGAGGAGACAGCCCCCCACCCGCGAGCGUGGGGGCGCACCUUCAUGCAGAGGCCUGCUGCCCUGUGGGAGCCCGGGUG